AGGGCAGCAGCCGCGGCCUGGAGAUAAGCGCUAGCGCGGCGCGGGGCUCUGCUUGGGCUAGUGGCACCGACUUGGGAAAAGAAAACGCCGAGACAUAGAAAACCCAUGCUUUUCCAGUUGGAGGAACAGCGGAUCAACCCGGCUAAAGGAACUGAGCAGCCCAGCUGCCUGUGAUGUUCUACACAUUUGAAAUACAGCAACUUCCCCGUACCAAAGAAAGGCAAGCGGAUAGGAGAAACUGCAAGGUGGCGAGAAAAGUUUCCUCCAUGCAGAGCUGAGACUGAAGCCGAUCACCUAACUGAGUCUCCGCAGGCGCCACGAACAGUGGACAAGGAGAGCAGCCCACGCGGCGGCGGCUGCGACGGUGGCCUCGACUUGCUUUUGCCCUGCUGUUCCGUGUGGCGGUUUGUCUAGGGCUUGCGGGAAGAAACAAACACACCCUUCUGAUACCCUCCUUCCCCCUACAGUACACACAUCUUUGGUCUCUGCAGCCGCCCCUCCCUCAGGACGCUGGCUUUGGGGCAGACUCUUUUGUUUGCCCGAAGCCCCGAAGCCCCGAAGCCCCGCAUUCAUAGGACAUACAGCUGAGAGGAACCAGCUCCCAAACUCCUCCGAAGUUAAACAUUGACCGCACUUCUUUCAAAGGGCAAAGGGAUGCGGCUGCCAGGGAAAGUAAACUCACAAAGGCCCGGGCGCAAAGCCUGGCGCAGUGAAGAGUUUUGGUGCAGCGCUUACCUCGAAAGAUGUCGAAGACUGAACCAGAGAGUGUCUCCAGCUCUGGGAGCUCAGGGAACCGCUGUUUCCGGUGUCCAGGCACUCUGCGGACAAAUAAACAGCAGAGGGUGAACGGUGGCUGCGGAGGAGGAAGGGAGUUGGAGGAUCGGAGUCGGAGGCGCGGGCAGCGCGGGCGCCAAGGUGGCCCCCAGGGUGACGCGGACACGGAGGAGUCGCCAGGGCACUCGUCCAUGAGGCGCACUCAUUGCUCGAAAGGUUCCAGUCUACAAAUGGCCUGAAGAUGGUGAUUUAUUUUUGUAAAAUAAAUACGUACUCCAUCUCCGCA